AGGCAUCAAACAUGGUACCCUGAUACUAACGCAAUAUAUAUUUAUUAUACACAUGGAUGAUGACGGAUAGUGAAACUAUAUGCACAGGUCUUGGCAUGAUGAGUUUAUGCACAGUUCUUGGCACAUCAUUGUGCAGCAAAUCCCCCUGACGCCCCACAGAGAACAUCACUCAGAGCGUGGAAGCAAGAACCCGAAACCAGAGUUUUCACGAAUUAUUGAAGGAGGAUCGAUGUCAGCUAUGUCUACUUGUUGCAUUGACUUGG
rnacentral:lncRNA from 1 species